UACGGGGGGAGCAAGCGUUGUUCGGAUUUACUGGGCGUAAAGGGCGCGUAGGCGGCCAGUGCAAGUCAGUUGUGAAAUCUCCGAGCUUAACUCGGAAAGGUCAACUGAUACUGCUCGGCUAGAGUGCGGAAGGGGCAACUGGAAUUCUUGGUGUAGCGGUGAAAUGCGUAGAUAUCAAGAGGAACACCUGCGGCGAAGGCGGGUUGCCGGGCCGACACUGACGCUGAAGUGCGAAAGCUAGGGGAGCGAACGGG
rnacentral:rRNA from 1 species